rnacentral:rRNA from 2 species
CUGCGGAGGGAUCAUUACACAAAUAUGAAGGCGGGCUGGAACCUCUCGGGGUUACAGCCUUGCUGAAUUAUUCACCCUUGUCUUUUGCGUACUUCUUGUUUCCUUGGUGGGUUCGCCCACCACUAGGACAAACAUAAACCUUUUGUAAUUGCAAUCAGCGUCAGUAACAAAUUAAUAAUUACAACUUUCAACAACGGAUCUCUUGGUUCUGGCAUCGAUGAAGAACGCAGCGAAAUGCGAUAAGUAGUGUGAAUUGCAGAAUUCAGUGAAUCAUCGAAUCUUUGAACGCACAUUGCGCCCUUUGGUAUUCCAAAGGGCAUGCCUGUUCGAGCGUCAUUUGUACCCUCAAGCUUUGCUUGGUGUUGGGCGUCUUGUCUCUAGCUUUGCUGGAGACUCGCCUUAAAGUAAUUGGCAGCCGGCCUACUGGUUUCGGAGCGCAGCACAAGUCGCACUCUCUAUCAGCAAAGGUCUAGCAUCCAUUAAGCCUUUUUUUCAACUUUUGACCUCGGAUCAGGUAGGGAUACCCGCUGAACUUAAGCAUAUCAA